rnacentral:rRNA from 1 species
CGGCUAACUACGUGCCAGCAGCCGCGGUAAUACGUAGGCGGCAAGCGUUGUUCGGAAUUACUGGGCGUAAAGGGUGCGUAGGCGGUUUUUUAAGUUUGGUGUGAAAUCUCCCGGCUCAACUGGGAGGGUGCGCCGAAUACUGAGAGGCUAGAGUGUGGGAGAGGAAAGUGGAAUUCCUGGUGUAGCGGUGAAAUGCGUAGAUAUCAGGAGGAACACCAGUGGUGUAAACGGCUUUCUGGACCAUUACUGACGCUGAGGCACGAAAGCGUGGGUAGCAAACAGGAUUAGAUACCCUGGUAGUCCACGCCCUAAACGAUGCAUAUUUGGUGUGGGCGAUUCAUUUGGUCUGUGCCGGAGCUAACGCGUUAAAUAUGCCGCCUGGGGAGUACAGUCGCAAGGCUGAAACUCAAAGGAAUUGACGG